rfam:Triticum aestivum genome assembly, contig: Triticum_aestivum_CS42_TGACv1_scaffold_114964_2AS
AUUAUACUCCCUUCGUCCGGAAAUACUUGUCAUCAAAAUAAUUAAAAGGAGAUGUAUCUAGACAUUUUUUAGUUCUAGAUACAACCUUUUUUAUCCAUUUUGAAGACAAGUAUUUUCGGACGGAGGGAGUAGCAU